rnacentral:rRNA from 1 species
UACAGAGGGUGCAAGCGUUGCUCGGAUUUACUGGGCGUAAAGCGUACGCAGACGGUGAGAAAGGUCGGAUGUGAAAGCCCCGGGCUCAACCCCGGGAACUGCAUCCGAAACCAUCUCGCUAGAGUAUGAGAGAGGGAAGCGGAAUUCCUGGUGUAGAGGUGAAAUUCGUAGAUAUCAGGAGGAACAUCUGCGGCGAAGGCGGCUCCUGGCUCAUUACUGACGUCAGGUAGCGAAAGCGUG